CCCUUAACUAUUAAAAGUUUCGUUUUGGUCCCUUAACUUAUUUUUUUGUUUCAUUUUGGUCCCUUAACUCUUUCUCCGUAAACCACUUUGGUCCUUUAUGUUAGGAUGAAUGUAUUACAGUUAAGGACCAAAACGAAAUCAAAAAAUAAGUUAAGUGACCAAAACGAAAACAAAAAAUAAGUUAAAGGACCAAAACAAAACUUUUAAUAGUUAAGGGACCAAAACAAAACCAAAAAAUAAGUUAAGGGAUCAAAACGAAACUUUUAAUAGUUAAGGGA
rnacentral:pre_miRNA from 1 species